rnacentral:rRNA from 1 species
GAUGAACGCUGGCGGCGUGCCUAAUACAUGCAAGUCGAGCGAACAGACGAGGAGCUUGCUCCUCUGACGUUAGCGGCGGACGGGUGAGUAACACGUGGAUAACCUACCUAUAAGACUGGGAUAACUUCGGGAAACCGGAGCUAAUACCGGAUAAUAUAUUGAACCGCAUGGUUCAAUAGUGAAAGACGGUUUUGCUGUCACUUAUAGAUGGAUCCGCGCCGCAUUAGCUAGUUGGUAAGGUAACGGCUUACCAAGGCGACGAUGCGUAGCCGACCUGAGAGGGUGAUCGGCCACACUGGAACUGAGACACGGUCCAGACUCCGACGGGAGGCAGCAGUAGGGAAUCUUCCGCAAUGGGCGAAAGCCUGACGGAGCAACGCCGCGUGAGUGAUGAAGGUCUUCGGAUCGUAAAACUCUGUUAUUAGGGAAGAACAAAUGUGUAAGUAACUAUGCACGUCUUGACGGUACCGAAUCAGAAAGCCACGGCUAACUACGU